AGCCCUCUGGGUCCCUCUGCAGGGCUUGUUCUUGAAUUCUGACUGUGGUGGUGGGAGGCUCAGUCACACUCGCUCAUCUUGUGCCUGGUUGGCCAGUGGCACGGAGUAGUAUGGGUGGUUGGACUCAAAGCCAUCUAUAUCCUGGACCCUAAGCCCCAAUCCCAUUAGGCUAAUGCGCUAAGCUAAGCCCAUUCAUUUAUUCAGAACAUAAAUAGCUUUAACAUCAAGUAUGUGACUGGCUUUAUACCAGCUGCAGGAAGAGUUACGAAAAGGCUAUGGUAUACUUGGAUGUAAACACUUACAUCUAUGAAGAAUGAACCAGUGACAUAAUAAAGCAAGGCAUAAAUGACAUGAGUGUUCCAGAAUGGUCUGUGAUGUGUUGUUGAGUGGAUCGGAAGAGAAAUGCUGUGUUUUCAGAGUGGUGAGAUGAGCAGACACUGGGAUUGUCUGAGAAAGUCCAUCAGGAGUUGAUGUGGAUCUUGAGGGUGUCAGGAUCUAGACCAGGAAGGCCUGGCCUCCCAGGGAAUGGCUACAACCAAGGCAGGGAGGCUUGAGCUUCAGAGGAAUCAUCCCUCGAAGAAUAUCAAAACUGAAGCCAAGGGUUUCUGUUGGGGGUCAGCAGAAGAUGAGAGUGUGACUCUUCUUUUAACAAUUUUGGGGAAAAUCAAGAACUUGGCUGUCAAAAUAGAGGAAGAAUUGGUGUAGCAUUCAGAGGAGCCAGGAAGUAACUUCCUUUGUCCCAGGAAGGCAAACAGAAUGGAAUAUCUCUGUCCUCCAGUUCACGUGAAGUCUCUGAAGCCCUGCCCUAACCUAAUAGUCAGGAUUCCUGGGGCCUAGCCCAAGGGACCCUCCAGCUGCUCCUGCUGGAAGCGAACAGCCAUCUUCUCAUGGGGUGGUAGAUAUGGCAUUUGUGGUUGGCCUCCAGAAAGACUAAGAAGGAGGCUGGGUGCAGUGGCUCAUGCCUGUAAUCUCAGCACUUUGGGAGGCCAAGGCGGGUGGAUUACAAUGUCAAGAGUUUGAGACCAGCCUGGCCAAGAUGGUGAAACCCCAUCUCUACUGAAAAUACAAAAAUUAGCCACGUGUGGUGGUGGGUGCCUGUAAUUCCAGCUACUUGAGAGGCUGAGGCAGGAGAAUUGCUUGAACCUGGGAGGCAGAGGUUGUAGCAGUAAGCCGAGAUCAUGCCACUGCUCUCCAGCCUGGGCAACAGAGUGAAACUGUGUCUCAAAAAAAACCUAUAUAUAUAUAUAUAUAUAUAUCUCCAAUGAUAGAGUGAAUGAAUGAAUGAAUGAAUUAGCUGUGACCUUGGGCAAAUUAUCUUCCUUUUCUGGAUCUUGGUCUCCACAUUUGUAAAAUGGGGAUAAUAAUGCUGCCCUGUCUCCUAUGCACAGCCAUCCAGAGCCACUGGGAGUAAAUGAAUAGAUAGAUGUGAAUAGUGUUGAUGUCCCAUGAAGUUCUGAGCCCCCUCCAGGGACUACAUGGUGGCUGGCAUUUGAG
rnacentral:lncRNA from 13 species